rnacentral:rRNA from 1 species
AGAAUCAACGCUGGCGGCGUGCCUAACACAUGCAAGUCGCACGAGAAAGGGGCUUCGGCUCUGAGUAAAGUGGCGCACGGGUGAGUAACACGUGACUAACCAACCCUCGAGUGGGGAAUAACCUAGAGAAAUCUGGGCUAACACCGCAUAACACUUACGAGUCAAAGCAGAAAUGCGCUUGGGGAGGGGGUCGCGGCAGAUUAGCUAGUUGGCGGGGUAAUGGCCCACCAAGGCGAUGAUCUGUAUCCGGCCUGAGAGGGCGCACGGACACACUGGAACUGAAACACGGUCCAGACUCCUACGGGAGGCAGCAGUGGGGAAUUUUGCGCAAUGGGGGAAACCCUGACGCAGCAACGCCGCGUGGAGGAUGAAAUCCCUUGGGAUGUAAACUCCUUUCGAUCGGGAAGAUAAUGACGGUACCGAGAGAAGAAGCCCCGGCUAACUUCGUGCCAGCAGCCGCGGUAAUACGAGGGGGGCAAGCGUUGUUCGGAAUUAUUGGGCGUAAAGGGUGCGUAGGCGGUUUGACAAGUCUUAUGUGAAAUCUCUGGGCUCAACCCAGAGUCUGCAUGGGAAACUGUCGAGCUUGAGUAUGGGAGAGGUGAGUGGAAUUUCCGGUGUAGCGGUGAAAUGCGUAGAUAUCGGAAGGAACACCUGUGGCGAAAGCGGCUCACUGGACCAUUAC